rnacentral:lncRNA from 1 species
GGGGCAUUAGGCUCCAUCUUUUGUAGGAAGGUGUAUCCAAGAAUUUGUGAACAUCUUUUUAAACCAGCACAUUAGCUGUCAUUAGAAUUUGAAGAAAUGAGAAUUGGCUGAUUCUAAGCCUGGGGCAGAAAAUACCCGUAAUGAGGAGCCUGGAGGAUCUUUUACUAUCAAAAGAAGAGAAGUCCAAACCCACUGAUUUUUUGGGUCUCUGUAUGUGAUGUGACGUAGCAGUCUUCUGUUUGAAACUCAGGAAAGAAACAAUUGGGAUCCAAACAGUCAAAUAUGCAGCUUGAUUUGCUAUUUGGCUCAAGGAGCAGAAGAGGACAGAGGAAGUUACAGUGCAUUUCCAUUUCUUGUCCAAUUUCCAGUCCCAUGUCAGUAGAGCUGAACCUUGGAUGGCCUAGCAACAUCUCUUCGGAGGUCUGCUUGGCAGAGAGAAGGAAGGAGCUUGUGUUGGAAAACAGCAUUCUGCAGCUCUCAGCCCACAGCUGUCCAUCCCCUCUGACCCCUGUCAGUUCUACAAUGGGGAGAACAAGAUAAGGAAUACUCCCCUUCUCAUCAAAAAGACAAGAAUUUUAUAUAUAGCAGGCACCACACAGUGCCUCCUUGGCCAACAUCCAGGCUGCCUAGAGGAAUUUGUCUACAACAAAACAAAUAAAAGCUGUCCUGUGACUCAAACAGCGGGUGGUCUAAGUCCACUACACAGCAGCUUCUCUAU